rnacentral:rRNA from 1 species
AGUGAACGCUGGCGGCAGGCCUAACACAUGCAAGUCGAGCGGCAGCGCGUCCGACCACCCUCGGGUGGUCGGAUGGCGGCGAGCGGCGGACGGGUGAGGAAUGCAUCGGAAUCUGCCUCGUUGUGGGGGGAUAACGUAGGGAAACUUACGCUAAUACCGCAUACGACCUACGGGUGAAAGUGGGGGACCUUCGGGCCUCACGCGAUGAGAUGAGCCGAUGCCGGAUUAGCUAGUUGGCGGGGUAAAGGCCCACCAAGGCGACGAUCCGUAGCUGGUCUGAGAGGAUGAUCAGCCACACUGGAACUGAGACACGGUCCAGACUCCUACGGGAGGCAGCAGUGGGGAAUAUUGGACAAUGGGGGCAACCCUGAUCCAGCCAUGCCGCGUGUGUGAAGAAGGCCUUCGGUU